rnacentral:tRNA from 1 species
GGGGCUGUAGUAUAAUGGUAGAACAAACGGCUCCAGACCGUUUGAUCCAGGUUCAAAUCCUGGCAGCCCCA